CACCGAUGCUUGCACUCCGGGGUCGGGACAAAGGCAUCACCUCUAGGUUCCUCCCGUCAGGGCACUCCGGCCCUGGCCCAAACCCUCUCCGGUUUCCCGAGCCCGACACUCCAGUGCACCGAGCCCUGGAGACGGAGGCCGCGAUUCAGGCCUCGGGUGAGCACCGGCGUCCUGCCGCUCCCGCGAUCCUGUCAGCGGCCAGCGGGCCUCAGGGUCCCCGUAGGACUGCCGCGGCGACCCUCCGAGCCGGCGCCGCCAGACGCUCCGGCGAACCCGUCAGGUGCUGAGCGGCCGGGCCAAGCCCGCCGCCAGAUGGGAGCAGGGGCGGCACUUACCCGGCAGCGCCUCCUCCGCCCGCGGCAGCAACACAGCCGGCGGCCCUCCGCACCAUCUUCUGCCGCCGCCCUGGCCUCGGCGGCGGCUAUCAACCGCCCCUGCGGCGCCGCCAACCGACACAACCGUCGGCGCCCAGCCGCCGAGUACCCGGCGAGGCCCGGAAGGAUGGGAGUCGGGCGCAGCCGCUGCUCCGGCCCCUCGGCUCCGCGCGGGGACCCGAGUCCGCCGGCCGAGGCACUGAGAGCUUGGCAGGGCUGGGUCGCGGCCGCCGUGGGGUUUGUUAUUGUCGACUCGGCCUUUCCGCCGCAGAGCACGCCGGGAAACAGCCAGCCGGGGGAGGGGUGA
ensembl:antisense 4732440D04Rik RIKEN cDNA 4732440D04 gene